CUCUUUCUUAUGACAGAUUCAUGAACACUGACCUUAACUGAGGCAAGUGAGGCCUGCAGUUCUGUGGAUGUUGUUGUGGGGUCUUCUGUGACCUCUUGGAUGAGUUGUCACUUCGCUCUUGGGGUAAUUUUGGUUGGCUGGCCACUCCUGGGAAGGUUCACCACUAUUCCAUGUUUUGGCCAUUUGUGGAUAAUGGCUCUCGCUGUGGUUCGCUUGAGUCCCAAAGCUU